rnacentral:lncRNA from 1 species
CCAUUUUUUUUUCAGAGGCACUGGAUUCGUAGAAUCUGUCGGAUGGGACAAGAAGUGAGCUCGAUCUGGAGUCAGACUGCUAGAUAGUUAGAAGUCAAUUUAUCUUUUAUUUAUGGACAUUUGAAAUUAUGUAAUAAAUCAGUACAUUGUAGCUGGAUUUGAUUGAAUUACACCAAUCUUUGGUUUUGGCAUAUAUGUGAAUGUUGUACCUUUUAGGCCUUGCAUGAUCUUUAGGGCAC